rnacentral:lncRNA from 7 species
CUCGAAGAGAAAACGCGUGAUUUUCGCUUAAAUGGGGGAUUUGUGAAAAGAAAACGAGUGAUUUUCAGGUUAAAUGGGGGAUUCCUGAAGAGAAAACGCGUGAUUUUUGCUUUAAUGGCGGAUUUGUGAAGAGAAAACGUGUGUUUUUCGCUUAAAUGGGGGAUUUGCAAAUUGAAAAUGUGCGUUUUUCGGGUUAAAUGGGGUUUUGUGUUAAUUGGGGGAUUUGCAAAGAGAAAAUUGAUUUUUGCUUAAAUGGCGGAUUUGUGAAGAGAAAACGCGUGUUUUUCGCUUAAAUGGGGGAUUGAGAACGCGGAUUUCGUUAUGUGGAUUCCAAGGA